GCCGAGGUGGCGUAAUUGGUAGCCGCGCACGUUUGAGGGGCGUGUGGUGUAAACCGUACGAGUUCGAGUCUCGUCCUCGGCACCA
rnacentral:tRNA from 2 species